GCAAGCAUGACUUUCAUCACAAUCUUCAUCUGGACACUUUUGUGUUGUAUAAAAGAGUCCAGAGGUCAGGUGACUGUGACUCAGACUCCUGCAGUGAAAUCUGUUCUUCCAGGAGACUCUGUUACUGUGAGAUGUAAGACCAACACAGCCGUUGCUUCCUGUAGCAGUUCUCAGGACUGUUUGUCCUGGUACCAACACAAACCUGGAGAGGCUCCUAAACUCCUGAUUAAGUAUGCAAGUCAACGUCAGUCUGGAGUUCCAGCUCGUUUCAGUGGCAGUGGAUCUGGGACUGACUUCACUCUGACCAUCAGUAACUUCCAGACUGAAGAUACAGGAGAUUAUUACUGUCAGAGUGCACAUUAUAUCAGUAGUAGCUGGGUGUUCACACAGUGA